rnacentral:sRNA from 1 species
AGCGAAUGGGAUUAGAUACCCCAGUAGUCCUAGCCGUAAACGAUGGAUACUAGGUGUUGUCUGUAUCGACCCGGACAGUGCCGUAGCUAACGCGUUAAGUAUCCCGCCUGGGGGGGGUACGCACGCAAGUGUGAAACUCAAAGGAAUUGACGGGGGGCCCGCACAAAGCGGUGGGAGUAUGUGGGUUAAUUUACGAUGCAACGACGAGAAACUUACCCUACGGAACGUUGUACAUGUUCGCGGCUCCCCGAACCGGACGACUCCCUUCGUGUUUUCCGUACGACGGUCCGCGGGCCGUAGGAACUACCGUUGGGGGUAGUACUAACUACCCUCUUCGUCGUACGUCGUGGGGAGGCGAAGGCGACACAGGGGAGUAGG